ACGGUCUCUUACUUUAGAUAAUAUCUUUUCUUUUUCAUUGACAUAAUAGUUAACACAAAACUAGAACCUGCUGAUAGAACCCAAGCAGGAUAUUGUUUAUGGGAUGUGCUUCCUCCUCCAGUCUGUCAAAGCACUUGAGGGAUAAUGCUAGACAUUUAAAAUGAUGGUUCCUGACAGAGUGGUAACUUACUGUCUUUUGUACACAUAGCUUAGAUUUUUCUUCAGAACUUCUACUGAUUAUGUAUUUAUACAUAUUUUAGUGCAUAUAUGCUGAUUCAGUGAAGUAAAGGUAACAUAUUUAUGUUUGGAUGAUCAGAUAUUAAAGUUGCAAAUUUUACUUCAGCCCAAUAUAUUUAUAUUCCCUUUUAAAAGUCUUUAUUGGCAAAACAUAGUUAAAACAGUUUUCUGCAUAUGGCUAGCCAGUUUUCCCAGCACCAUUUAUUAAAUAGGGAAUCUUUUCCCCAAUUCUUGUUUUUGUCAGGUUUGUCAAAGAUCAGAUGGUUGUAGAUGUGUGGUGUUAUUUCUGAGGGCUCUGUUCUGUUCCAUUGGUCUAUGUAUCUGUUUUGGUACCAGUACCAUGCUGUUUUGGUUACUGUGGCCUUGUAGUAUAGUUUGAAGUCAGAUAACAUGAUGCCUCCAGCUUUCACAACCUACAGAAUGGGAGAAAAUUUUUGAAAUCUAUCCAUCUGACAAAGGGCUAAUAUCCAGAAUCUACAAGGAACUUAAAUAAAUUUACAAGAAAAAAAGAACCCCA
rnacentral:lncRNA from 1 species